CCUACGGGGGGCAGCAGUAGGGAAUUUUGCGCAAUGGGCGAAAGCCUGACGCAGCAACGCCGCGUGAUCGAGACGCCCUUCAGGGGGUGAAGAUCUGUCAGGUGGGACGACACUUGACGGUACCCACAGAGGAAGCACCGGCUAACUCCGUGCCAGCAGCCGCGGUAAUCCGGGGGGUGCAAGCGUUGUCCGGAAUCAUUGGGCGUAAAGAGUUCGUAGGCGGAACGUAAAGUCUGGUGUUAAAGGCAGAGGAUCAACUUCUGUAGGGCACUGGAUACUUGCGAGCUAGAAUGCGGUAGAGGUAAGGGGAAUGCGUGGUGUAGCGGUGAAAUGCUUAGAUAUCAGGAGGAACAUCGGUGGCGUAAGCGCUUUACUGGGCCGUAAUUGACGCUGAGGAACGAAAGCCAGGGUAGCAAAUGGGAUUAGAUACCCCGGUAGUC
rnacentral:rRNA from 1 species